UCCCUGGAGGACUAGUGGUUAGGCCACAGCGCUUUCACCGCUGCGGCCCGGGUUCGAUUCCCGGCCAGGGAA
rnacentral:tRNA from 1 species